AUGAAAACCAUGUUUUUCAUAUGGAAAAGCCAGCGGGGGCAUUUUAUAACGCAGACCACACAAAACGCACUGAUGGCUAAAGACACACCUUCGCAAGCCAUGAAGGCGAAAUGGAAAGAUUGGGUUUAUCUGGAGAACUGCAAACGCACGCCUCCCUACUGGCACCACAGGAGGAGCAGGAGAGUCCAAGGAGCUGCUCGGCCGUGGCCCUCCACGCCAAGGCACAAACCCGGCUGCCAGGGCCACACACAGACCCCGGGAUCCAAAUCCAAAGCCCCAAACGAGGAAGGAUUCCGAAGGACGUGAUAACAACCAAAAUACAUCAGUUCUCUCAAAACGAAAAGUAAGACUGAAGCUCUUUCUUCCUUUUUUCAAGUAAAUCAUUUUUAAUUCUGUUAUUAAGCACAUUAUAUAAACAAUCCAUUACUGCACCUAAAAUCAAUACAUAAAACAAGGUCAAUCGGAUAACCCUACCGUUACUAUCUGCUGUUGUAUAUGUGUGGGUUGGACAAGGCCAGCAGCUGCCGCGCCCACGAAGGGACCCUGCCGGCAGUCUAACACUUAAAUUGAUGCUCUCAAAAAAUACCUGUUCCUGAUCAAUACGUACAGCUCAAAGGAGAAGCUCCAGACGUAAGAGUGACAAGACCGUGGGACGAAGAGUGGAAAGUGAGAAUUUAAAAAGAAAUUACAAAGUUAAAUGCAUCGGGCUCACACAAAGAUUUAACACCGUAUGCGCAGGUAGCACCCGUCAAACAGCCACCUGCUUUUUCCCUUCCAAGUUUGCAAAACGCUAAAACUUACUGACACUGCAGAAAUGACUGAAACAGCCGCCUUUCGUUCUGCACAAGACCACCUGGUUCUGAAACACCAAGCAAUUGGUGAACAAGAGCUGUCUUUGUCUAGGAAGAUUCCGAGUCAACAGCCCUGGCUGUAAGAUACUCAGCUGUAAAUUAUCUUUUAAAAACUGUCUGACACUGAGCUCUACUGGAACGGUCUUCUUCAACAGCCUGUCUGCCUCAGUCUGCCGGCCACAGCUUUAUUUGUGUUACUGGGUGUUUCGGUUUUGUUUGGGGGAAGAGGCACAGACUGUGGGAGCUCAGAAUGGCAGAUAUGAAAUUCAGCAAGAAAAUAGGAAUCACAAAGUCUAGUUCUUUUUCUUUUGAAAAUGAAAAUGAAAAAAAAAAAAAGCUGAGCGUAAAUCCGGUGUCGUUAAAUAUUGUUUUGCAGGUGCAUCCCUAAUGAGCUUGUCACACUCCACAUCCCAGGACCCCAGCUGUUUUCAGGUUACCAGGCAAAGCCACUUCUUUUGAUUCUAUUAUUAGCGUCUCCAACAAAGUGACAAGAAAAAUAGCUCCAGAAGCAACCUGCGCCAUCGCGUUCACACCAAGUCAAUAAAUAUGCGCGCAUGCGCACACACACACACGCACACGCGCACACGCACACACGCACACGCACCAGCCUCUCCUGAUCUCCCCCUCAGACUCCAGCGCCUUUAGGGCUCGGCGCAGAGGAGCCUGGAUACAGGAUUUCGGCCACCUGAGCAGCAAAGGAGAAGACGCCCCAUCUGCCGGCCACCAGCCUCGAGCACUGACGGCCAGGAUGAAGAAGGGACCCCGCGACUCAUUACGUCGUAGCCCUCAGGCCGGGCACACUCUUCCCCCGGGGACCCCACGCAGCCUCGGCGAGGGCCACGCCGCGCCCAAUCCAGGAGGCCUCCGAGCUGCAGCAGCUGUGGCCUCUAUAAAGGAUCCUCUAGAACCUGUCCGGCAACGCCAGAGCCAGGUCGCCAGAUGCGUUCUACAGCCUCCUUCCUAGAGCUGCAGGCUGGGACGCCCCGCACACAGACAGGCUGGGAACCGCUAAGCUUCACAAAACUGCUACACAGAGGGCUAUGUCCCACCUGCCCGUGUCAGGUGGCCAUCGCCUUGUGGGUUCAGGUGCAGGCGCGACUCCAACACCAGCAGGAAAGCUCCAGGUGGACCUGGCGGCGAGACCCAACCAGAACUGACACAGGAGCGGGGAUGACUGGGAAGAUCCAACUUAUGUAAAACGGAACUCCGGGUCCCAUCAAGGACCAUAAUAAGUACUGCUGUAAGCGAAUAUUACAGUCUGAGGUAUCAGAGGGAGUUCAACUAGGUAACCCAGACAGAAUUAUGGGAUGGUCAAGUCCUUUGACUGUUAAGAAUCUGCAAUAAAAAACAUUGUAACCACUGACCUAGGGAUCUGCAACAUCAGCUGACUUUGGCUUUCCUCUCUCCA
rnacentral:lncRNA from 1 species